rnacentral:rRNA from 1 species
UGGGGAAUUUUGGACAAUGGGCGAAAGCCUGAUCCAGCCAUGCCGCGUGCAGGAUGAAGGCCUUCGGGUUGUAAACUGCUUUUGUACGGAACGAAAAGACUCUGGUUAAUACCUGGGGUCCAUGACGGUACCGUAAGAAUAAGCACCGGCUAACUACGUGCCAGCAGCCGCGGUAGUACGUAGGGUGCAAGCGUUAAUCGGAAUUACUGGGCGUAAAGCGUGCGCAGGCGUUUAUAUAAGACAGAUGUGAAAUCCCCGGGCUCAACCUGGGAACUGCAUUUUGUGACUGUAUAGCUAGAAGUACGGCAGAGGGGGGAUGGAAUUUCCGCGUGUAGCAGUGAAAUGCGUAGAUAUGCGGAGGAACACCGAUGGCGAAGGCAAUCCCCUGGGCCUGUACUGACGCUCAUGCACGAAAAGCGUGGGGAGCAAAACAGGAUUAGAUACCCUGGUAGUCCACGCCCUAAACGAUGUCAACUGGGUUGUUGGGUCUUCACUGACUCAGUAACGAAGCU